UACGAAGGGUGCAAGCGUUACUCGGAAUUACUGGGCGUAAAGCGUGCGUAGGUGGUCUGUUAAGUCUGAUGUGAAAGCCCUGGGCUCAACCUGGGAAUUGCAUUGGAUACUGGCAGGCUAGAGUGCGGUAGAGGGUAGUGGAAUUCCCGGUGUAGCAGUGAAAUGCGUAGAGAUCGGGAGGAACACCAGUGGCGAAGGCGACUACCUGGACCUGUACUGACGCUCAUGCACGAAAGCGUGGGGAGCAAACAGG
rnacentral:rRNA from 1 species